CAGCCGCCGCGGGAAUACAGAGGGUGCGAGCGUUAAUCGGAUUUACUGGGCGUAAAGCGUGCGUAGGCGGCUUCUAAGUCGGAUGUGAAAUCCCUGAGCUUAACUUAGGAAUUGCAUUCGAUACUGGGAAGCUAGAGUAUGGGAGAGGAUGGUAGAAUUCCAGGUGUAGCGGUGAAAUGCGUAGAGAUCUGGAGGAAUACCGAUGGCGAAGGCAGCCAUCUGGCCUAAUACUGACGCUGAGGUACGAAAGCAUGGGGAGCAAACAGGAUUAGAUACCCCUGUAGUCCCUGUCUCUUAUACA
rnacentral:rRNA from 1 species